rnacentral:misc_RNA from 1 species
CGCACCUUGCGCUCUCUGGUAUUCCGGAGAGCAUGCCUGUUUGAGUGUCAUGAACUCUUCAACCCGCCAGUUCCUUGUGAAUUGUGUUGGUGUUUGGUUUUUGAGCUUUGCUUUUGUUCCAAAAGCUUGCUCGUAAUGUAUUAGCAUCUCAAUUUCAAAACUUUGGAUUGACUCGGCGUAAUAGACUAUUCGCUGAGGACACUCUUUUACUAGAGUGGCCAGGUUAAGAUAAUAGUAGAAGCUUCAAACUCUCAAUUUGAAGUCAAAUUUAGAUUAGACCUCAAAUCAGGCAGGAUUACCCGCUGAACUUAA